rnacentral:rRNA from 1 species
AGAUUGAACGCUGGCGGCAUGCCUUACACAUGCAAGUCGAACGGUAGAGUAGCAAUACUCGAGAGUGGCGAACGGGUGAGUAAUAUAUCGGAACGUGCCCAGUCGUGGGGGAUAACGUAGAGAAAUUUACGCUAAUACCGCAUACGAUCUACGGAUGAAAGCGGGGGAUUCGCAAGAACCUCGCGCGAUUGGAGUGGCUGAUAUCAGAUUAGGUUGUUGGUGAGGUAAAAGCUCACCAAGCCGACGAUCUGUAGCUGGUUUGAGAGAACGACCAGCCACACUGGGACUGAGACACGGCCCAGACUCCUACGGGAGCAGCAGUGGGAAUUUGGACAAUGGGCGAGAGCCUGAACCAGCCAUGCCGCGUGCAGGAAGAAGGCCUU